UACGCGCGUUUUAUUAAAUUUCAUUGAUUAAUUUAUUUAUUUAAAAUUUAUAAAUUGUCUUACAUCUGCUACACUCACACUCGUAUUUUUUCGAGUGUGAAUGUUGUUGUCAAUUGACGAUUUUUUUAUGAGUGUGAAUAUAGCAGACGAGACAAUUUAUAAAUUUUAAAUAAAUAAAUAAAUUAAUUAAAAAAAAUGCGCGUUACAUUUUUUUUUAGUCCUUAUGUAACAAAUUAAAAAAUAAAUUACCAGUGAAAAAUAAUUCAUUAAUUUAUAAUGAAUAUUCCAAAAAAUUAUUUUGAAAAUUCAAUUUUUUUGAACAAAGGAGAUUACCUGAAUUUUGAAAAAUUUUGUAAGAAUAAAGUAACCAAAUUGGAAUUUACAAAAAUACCCAGUCAUUAUUCUGUCAAUGGUCAAAUUUACUAUGAAAUAGAAAUGAGGUUACAAGGUCUAAAAAUUCUGACAGCAUCACUAAUACCCCAUGACAUUCUCAAUAUACGUUUGCAGGAAUUAAACCCGCCAUAUUUAAUAAGAAAUAUUAAUUUUUUUAUUCCCAUUGACGUUAAUGCCAGUGAGAUUCUUGUGAAAGUUAACGAUAAUAAAACAAUUAGCAUCCAUGCUCCGAUGAAAACAUUGAGUUUUGAUAAAACUCUCGUUCAAAAAAAUCAAUCACUUUCUUAAUUCAUCGGAAAAUUAAUACUGAAAUUUUGAAAUAAAUAAAAAAUGGAUCGAGUCAUCAAUUCUUAGUUUAUUUGCUAAAAAAAAGAUAUUAAAUAAUUACAAGUCUGACAACUCUGAGUUUUUAUAUUUUUUAUUUUGCAUCGGCUCUCAUGUUCUUAAGAUGUUAGUUCUGUAUGUUGGUGACAAAUUAUUUCUUGGCUGGUGCUUUUUCAGCUUUUACUGCCGUGGGUUUUGUCGCCGUGGGUUUCUUCGCUGGCGCUUGGGUUUUUUUCGGUGCUUUCGCUACUUUUGGCUUGGCCGCUUUCGCAGCAAGAAUCUGCUUCUUACGACGUUCCAA